rnacentral:lncRNA from 1 species
AAAUAGGAACUGAAUUCACUUAGGGAAUUGGUGAUAUAAUAAUUGAUGGUAAGUCUUGAAUUACCGAACUAGUAGAUUAAUUCAUCAGUCAUAAUUGUAAUCAUUUUUUAUUUUCAAUUGUCUGAAAACCUAAAACCCCCCUUUUUUCGUUUCUUUCGUUUGUUUUAAUCGACUUAGAGUCCUUUUGAUACGACUCGAGUGUUGCUUACAUAUACUACAUUUAUUAACUCGUUUUUU